rnacentral:rRNA from 1 species
UACGGAGGAUGCAAGCGUUAUCCGGAAUGAUUGGGCGUAAAGCGUCCGCAGGUGGCAAUGCAAGUCUGCUGUCAAAGCGUCUGGCUCAACCAGAUAAAGGCAGUGGAAACUACAUAGCUAGAGUAAGGUAGGGGUAGAGGGAAUUCCUGGUGUAGCGGUGAAAUGCGUAGAGAUCAGGAAGAACACCGGUGGCGAAAGCGCUCUGCUGGACCUUAACUGACACUGAGGGACGAAAGCUAGGGGAGCGAAUGGG